rnacentral:rRNA from 1 species
UACGGGGGGGGCAAGCGUUGUUCGGAAUUACUGGGCGUAAAGGGCGCGUAGGCGGCCUGCUAAGUCGGACGUGAAAUCCCUCGGCUCAACCGAGGAACUGCGUCCGAUACUGGUGGGCUUGAAUCCGGGAGAGGGAUGUGGAAUUCCAGGUGUAGCGGUGAAAUGCGUAGAUAUCAGGAGGAACACCGGUGGCGAAGGCGGCUAUCUGGACAGAGUCUGACGCUGAGGCGCGAAAGCUAGGGGAGCAAACAGG